rnacentral:sRNA from 1 species
GAGGACGGAGCGGGGUUUGAGCAGGGAUAGGGGAAUCUGUCAAUCAAGUGACAUGGCUAGUAGCAAUUGCAUAUACAAAUCAGGAGAGACUGGGCUAAAGACACAGAUUUAGGGGUCAUCGUCAUAGAGCUAGUACUUGAAAUCUUGGGUCUGGAUGAGAUCAUUUGGGAAGUAAACGAACAGAGAUAGAGAAGCUAUAAUGUCCCAGGCUGAGCCUGCCACAAUUUGAAGUUGGUUGGAGGAGGAGCUGCUCCAUGAGGUCAGGAAUGUUGAAUGCACCCAGGGUGACAGUGUUGAGGAGGACGCCCUGUUGUGUGUCCUCUCCCAUCUCAUCCCUGCCCUUUCCCACACUCCCAGUGGCCCUUCUCCCAUCUUUCCUGCAGAUAUGUGUAUAACCACAUUGGUGGGGAGCAUUCCGCCGUGAUCCCAGAGCUGGCAGCCACAGUGGCCACAUUUGCCAUCACCACACUGUGGCUUGGGCCUUGUGACAUUGUCUACCUGUGGUCAUUCCUUAACUGCUUUGGCCUCAACUUUGAGCUCUGGGUGCAAAAACUGGCAGAGUGGGGGCCCCUAGCACGAAUUGAGGCCUCUCUGUCAGUGCAGAUGUCCCGUAGGGUCCGGGCCCUGUUUGGAGCCAUGAACUUCUGGGCCAUCAUCAUGUACAACCUUGUGAGCCUGAACAGCCUCAAAUUCACAGAGCUGGU